rnacentral:lncRNA from 1 species
GGGGGAAGGUGAGGGAGAGAAAGAGAUGGAGAUCUUCCACCUACCAGUUGGCUCCCCAAAUGCCUGCAACAGGAAAGGCUGGGUGCAGCAUGCGGGUGGCAGGGGCCCAAGCGCUCCCACCAUCUCCUGCUGCCUUUCCAGGUGCGUUAGCAGGGAGCUGGAUCAGAAGCAGAGCAGCCAGGACACAAGUGACGCCCCCAUUUGGGAUUCUUGCUGGCAGUGGCUUAAUUGGCUGUGCCACAACACCUCUCUAGGUUCUCUGCUUUUACAGGGAGGAAGCUGCUACCUGGCAGGUGAGUGUGGCAGUGUCUGCCCAAGUAAAGCAGACCGAGACACGUCAGCAAGACACUUGCAUUGAUCUAUGCAUCCACGGAUUGUUUAACAAUAGCUGCUCACCGGUGAGUUUGAUUUCUUUUCUUCUUUUUGCAGAAAAUAUAACUCCGUUGCCCUCCCCUACCCCCAUAUUCCCUCUUUGGUAUCACCAACUUAACUUUUCCAGGCCAUCUUUCUAGUUUUUUUCUUUCGUUCUCCCGGGUUUAUGUUUAAGUCUGUACUUAGCUCCUCUGGAGAUUAGAACAUAGGUGUUAAUUACAGCUUUCCCAUUGCUGCUUUUCCAUUAGGUGCUAAAUAUCCCCAAGUGAUUGAGUGUCUGCACUUAAGCCGGCUCACCUGUGCCAGGCCCUGCGCUCGCCAGGAACUCCGUGCGAGUGACCGUGCCUGCCCCCGGAUCUUCCGAUCUCGCCCAUCCAGAACCGUUCCCAUGGGGGUGGAUGUUUUUCCAAACUGGCUGCUUCAAGAGACUUCUCGUUGGUCCCAAACCAAAGGACAAGUCAGGGAGGGAAACACGGGCCGGCUGGCAAAGCGCCCCUGGCGCAGGCGCUCUGCGGGAGGAGCAGGGCGCGGGGGAGGGGAGCGGGAAGAACGGAGAGCGUGGCCUGGCCUGGGACCACCUGCGCCCGGUCAGGAGCCUCCGUGUAAAGCAGAGAGGCUUGCAAAGCCAGCUUGUGGGAUUCAAGGACAAGAAGGGAGGGCAGUGUGGCCGCAGACGCUUCUGUGACGUCGGAGCAGAGAGAGGGCCGGAGCGUGGAGUGCUGGCCUCUGCCACCUGAGCCCACCAACUCCAGCCCCUCCCCACCGCCUGUCCUCUUGGACGUCGGAGUUGAACGUGGACCAUAUCUCAGGGAGGAAAAUAGGGCAAGUCCACUUGUGUGGGCCGUGG